rnacentral:rRNA from 1 species
UACGUAGGGCGCAAGCGUUGUCCGGAAUUAUUGGGGCGUAAAGAGCUCGUAGGCGGCUUGUCACGUCGGGUGUGAAAGCCCGGGGCUUAACCCCGGGUCUGCAUUCGAUACGGGCAGGCUAGAGUGUGGUAGGGGAGAUCGGAAUUCCUGGUGUAGCGGUGAAAUGCGCAGAUAUCAGGAGGAACACCGGUGGCGAAGGCGGAUCUCUGGGCCAUUACUGACGCUGAGGAGCGAAAGCGUGGGGAGCGAACAGG